rnacentral:rRNA from 1 species
UACGUAGGGGGCUAGCGUUGUCCGGAAUCAUUGGGCGUAAAGAGCGUGUAGGCGGUCCGGUAAGUCCGUUGUGAAAGUCAAGGGCUCAACCCUUGAAUGCCGGCGGAUACUGUCGGGCUAGGAGUCCGGAAGAGGCGAGUGGAAUUCCCGGUGUAGCGGUGAAAUGCGCAGAUAUCGGGAGGAACACCUAUGGGCGAAGGCAGCCUCGCUGGGACGGCACUGACGCUGGGGACGCGAAAGCGUGGGGAGCAAACAGG